rnacentral:rRNA from 1 species
UGGGGAAUAUUGGACAAUGGGCGAAAGCCUGAUCCAGCCAUGCCGCGUGAGUGAUGAAGGCCCUAGGGUUGUAAAGCUCUUUUGUGCGGGAAGAUAAUGACGGUACCGCAAGAAUAAGACCAGGCUAACUUCGUGCCAGCAGCCGCGGUAAUACGAAGGGGGCUAGCGUUGCUCGGAAUCACUGGGCGUAAAGGGUGCGUAGGCGGGUUUCUAAGUCAGAGGUGAAAGCCUGGAGCUCAACUCCAGAACUGCCUUUGAUACUGGAAGGCUUGAGUUCGGUAGAGGUGAGUGGAACUGCGAGUGUAGAGGUGAAAUUCGUAGAUAUCCGCAAGAACACCAGUGGCGAAGGCGGCUCACUGGCCCGAUACUGACGCUGAGGCACGAAAGCGUGGGGAGCAAACA